CGGUGGAUGAUGUGGUUUAAUUCGAUGCAACGCGAAAACCUUACCACCUUUGACAUGUACGGAAUCCUUUAGAGAUAGAGGAGUGCUCGAAAGAGAGCCGUAACACAGGUGCUGCAUGGCUGUCGUCAGCUCGUGUCGUGAGAUGUUGGGUUAAGUCCCGCAACGAGCGCAACCCUUGUCAUUAGUUGCUACAUUCAGUUGGGCACUCUAAUGAGACUGCCGGUGACAAACCGGAGGAAGGUGGGGAUGACGUCAAGUCCUCAUGGCCUUUAUGUCCAGGGCUACACACGUGCUACAAUGGGCGGUACAAAGGGUUGCUAUCCCGCGAGGGUGAGCUAAUCCCAAAAAGCCGUUCUCAGUUCGGAUCGGAGUCUGCAACUCGACUCCGUGAAGUUGGAAUCGCUAGUAAUCGUGGAUCAGCAUGCCACGGUGAAUACGUUCCCGGGUCUU
rnacentral:rRNA from 1 species